rnacentral:rRNA from 1 species
CCCAGACUCCUACGGGAGGCAGCAGUGGGGAAUAUUGCACAAUGGGGGGAACCCUGAUGCAGCGACGCCGCGUGGGUGAAGGAGUACUUCGGUACGUAAAGCCCUAUCAGCAGGAAAGAAAAUGACGGUACCUGACUAAGAAGCCCCGGCUAACUACGUGCCAGCAGCCGCGGUAAUACGUAGGGGGCAAGCGUUAUCCGGAUUUACUGGGUGUAAAGGGAGCGUAGACGGCAGUGCAAGUCCGGAGUGAAAGCCCGGGGCUCAACCCUGGGACUGCUCUGGAAACUGUAAAGCUGGAGUGCGGGAGGGGCAGGCGGAAUUCCUGGUGUAGCGGUGAAAUGCGUAGAUAUCAGGAGGAACACCGGCGGCGAAGGCGGCCUGCUGGACCGUAACUGACGUUGAGGCUCGAAAGCGUGGGGAGCAAACAGGAUUAGAUACCCCGGUAC